CUGAGCAAGGCCAGGGAUUGAACCCACAUCCUCAUGGAUACUGGCGGGAUUCGUUUCUGCUGUGCCACAAUGGGAACUCCUCUGUUAGAUCUAUUUUGCAAUAUUUUCUCCUGGUAUGUGCCUCGCCUUUUAUUUUCAUAACAGCAUUUUUUUUGAACAGUAGAAGUUUUUAUUUUUUGAAGUCCAAACUGUCAGUUGUUCCAUGCCUUUUGUUUUAUUUUUAAGAAACUUUGCCAAAUAUAAAGUCACUAAGCUUUUCUAGAUCUUAUUCUGGAAGUUUUAGGUCUUAUUUUUAGGUUUUUCUCCAUCUUGGGUUAAUUUUCGUAUAUAUUAUGAGGUAGGGGUUGAGUUUCAUUUUUUUCAAUAUGUUAUGCAGUUGUUUCAGCACUAUUUAGUUAAAUCAUUAGCAUUUCUCAAUUGAACUACCUCACCAACAUUGUUUAAAAUAAUUGAUUAUAUAUAUAUAUCAGUCUAUUUUGAACUCCAUUCUCUGCUGUUACAUUACUCCAUUUGCUUAUCUUUUUUCCAAUGCUACACUGUCUUUAAGUCUGUAGCUUUAUUUAUUUAUUUAUUUAUUUAUUUAUUUAUUGCCACACCCACAGCACAUGGAAGUUCCCAGGUCAGGGACUGAAUCCGAGCCAUAGCUGCAGCCUAAACCAGAGCUGCAGCAGUGCCUCUGGAUCCUUAACCCAUGGCACCAGAGCAGGAGCUCCCAUAUUCUAACUUUAUAAGUCUUGAAACCAAGUAGUAUUAAGUUCUCUAAAUUUGUUCUUUUUCAAAGUUGUUUUGUCUAUUCUAGGUCAUUUUGACAUUUCCUGAAUUUUAAAGUCAGCUUGUCAAUUUCUAAAAAAAAAAAAAAAAAAAAAAAGCCAGCUGAGAUUUUGAAUAGAAUUACAUUAAUUCAUAGAUUAAUUUGGGGGUAAGUUCACACUUUCACAAUAUGAAGUUAUCCAAUCUAUGAUCACAGUAUCUCUCUUCAUUUGUUCAAGUCUCCCUUAAUUUCUCUCAGCUACAUUUUGUAGUGUUCAGUGAUCAAGUCUUGCCCAUCUUUAGUCAAAUAUAUCCCUCCCAAGUAUUUCAUGUUUUUGAUGUUUUGUUAAAUAUAUAGUUUAUCUAGCUUCCACUUGAUUUUUCAGUGAUUUUUUCAGUAUUGGCUCUUUAUCCUGAAACUUUGUUAUGCUUAUUCAUAAAUCAUAGUAGCUUUCCCUGUAGAUUCCAAAAGAUUUUUUAAAAUAAAUGAUUAUGAUUUCUAUAAAGUAUUUUAUUUAUUUUCCAAUAUUGAGUCUUUUAUUUCUUUUUCUUGCUUUAAUGCACUGGAUAGUACCUCUAAUAAUAGUUCUAGUACUAAUGGAUAGACAGGGAAACAGAAAAUAUCUUUGAUAUUAGCGAGAAAGAAUUCAGUCUAUUACCAUUAAUUAUGAUAUUAGCUAUAGGGUUUUAAUACUUGAGGGCAUUCUCUUCUCUCCCUAGACUGUGUGAGUUUGCUGUCAAUAAGAAGACAAGACACCAAAAGAAAAAGCAGUUGUGAGUGGUGACAAGAUAUGGGCUUCAGGCCAGUGGAAGCUGUUGGGUCAUGAAAGGACUGCCCAGCACAUGCAUCCUGUGGCUACAGACUCACCAACAGCCGGUUCCUGGGAAAAGACAAUAAACCAUCUUGGCAACACAACUAAAUACAUACCCCUGACUCAGCUACAUAGACUCCCAAACUCUGCAGCCAUUCUCCCCACUCUGUGAAAUAACACAUAGAUUUAUCUUGUUUAAUUGCACUCAAUGAAUCUUUUGAAUUUCCAUUUAGAGAAAAUGUCCCAGGCAAUGUUCAGUAUGAACUUAAGUGACAUAAACUACCAUUCCCAAAGUAUAA